rnacentral:tRNA from 1 species
GAUUAAAUGGCUGAAAAAUAGGCAAUAAAUUGUAAAUUUAUUUAUGAGAUAAUUCUCUUUAAUCA